AGAGUUUGAUUCUGGCUCAGAACGAACGCUGGCGGCGUGGAUAAGACAUGCAAGUCGAACGAGAGAAUUGCUAGCUUGCUAAUAAUUCUCUAGUGGCGCACGGGUGAGUAACACGUGAGUAACCUGCCCCCGAGAGCGGGAUAGCCCUGGGAAACUGGGAUUAAUACCGCAUAGUAUCGAAAGAUUAAAGCAGCAAUGCGCUUGGGGAUGGGCUCGCGGCCUAUUAGUUAGUUGGUGAGGUAACGGCUCACCAAGGCGAUGACGGGUAGCCGGUCUGAGAGGAUGUCCGGCCACACUGGAACUGAGACACGGUCCAGACACCUACGGGUGGCAGCAGUCGAGAAUCAUUCACAAUGGGGGAAACCCUGAUGGUGUGACGCCGCGUGGGGGAAUGAAGGUCUUCGGAUUGUAAACCCCUGUCAUGUGGGAGCAAAUUAAAAAGAUAGUACCACAAGAGGAAGAGACGGCUAACUCUGUGCCAGCAGCCGCGGUAAUACAGAGGUCUCAAGCGUUGUUCGGAAUCACUGGGCGUAAAGCGUGCGUAGGCUGUUUCGUAAGUCGUGUGUGAAAGGCGCGGGCUCAACCCGCGGACGGCACAUGAUACUGCGAGACUAGAGUAAUGGAGGGGGAACCGGAAUUCUCGGUGUAGCAGUGAAAUGCGUAGAUAUCGAGAGGAACACUCGUGGCGAAGGCGGGUUCCUGGACAUUAACUGACGCUGAGGCACGAAGGCCAGGGGAGCGAAAGGGAUUAGAUACCCCUGUAGUCCUGGCAGUAAACGGUGCACGCUUGGUGUGCGGGGAAUCGACCCCCUGCGUGCCGGAGCUAACGCGUUAAGCGUGCCGCCUGGGGAGUACGGUCGCAAGAUUAAAACUCAAAGAAAUUGACGGGGACCCGCACAAGCGGUGGAGUAUGUGGCUUAAUUCGAUGCAACGCGAAGAACCUUACCUGGGCUUGA
rnacentral:rRNA from 1 species